GGAGAUAAGCACUCUCUAGUUCAGGUAGACUAGGCUUGAGGCUUAGAGCAGUUUGCUUGUAUGUGUAAUGCUCGUGCCCUGCUGAUGAGAUGUUGUCUCUGCACUACAGGAAGUGAUGGCAAACCUGGAGGAGAGCAAAUAUCAGAACGUCAAGCUGCGCCUGUCCAUCUAUGGUCGUUCGAGGGACAAGUGGGACAAGCUAGCCAAGUGGGCAGUCAAACAUGGGGUCUAUUCAGACAACGUCCGCUAGCUGGUUCAGGUGCCCCGCUCCUUUCAUGUGUACCAUACCAAGAAACAACUGUCCAACUUUCAGGAGAUGUUAGAGAACAUCUUCAUGCCUCUGUUUGAGGCCACCAUCAACCUUGGCAGUCACCCAGAGCUGCACCUUUUCUUACAGCACGUGGUGGGCUUUGACAGCAUAGGUGAUGAGUCUAAACCAGAACACAUCUUUGACUCAGACAGUCCACUUCCUGUCAACUGGACGGAAGAGGACAACCCUCCUUACUCUUACUACCUCUACGCAG